rnacentral:rRNA from 1 species
GAGUUUGAUCAUGGCUCAGAGUGAACGCUGGCGGCAGGCCUAAUACAUGCAAGUCGAACGGCAGCACAGCAGAGCUUGCUCUGUGGGUGGCGAGUGGCGGACGGGUGAGGAAUACAUGGGAAUCUGCCCAGUCGUGGGGGAUAACGUAGGGAAACUUACGCUAAUACCGCAUGCGCCCUUCGGGGGAAAGCCGGGGACCUUCGGGCCUGGCGCGAUUGGAUGAGCCCAUGUCGGAUUAGCUAGUUGGCGGGGUAACGGCCCACCAAGGCGACGAUCCGUAGCUGGUCUGAGAGGAUGAUCAGCCACACUGGAACUGAGACACGGUCCAGACUCCUACGGGAGGCAGCAGUAGGGAAUAUUGGACAAUGGGCGCAAGCCUGAUCCAGCCAUGCCGCGUGUGUGAAGAAGGCCUUCGGGUUGUAAAGCACUUUUAUCCGGAAAGAAAAGCACUGGGUUAAUACCCUGGUGUCCUGACGGUACCGGAAGAAUAAGCACCGGCUAACUUCGUGCCAGCAGCCGCGGUA